rnacentral:rRNA from 1 species
UACGGGAGGCAGCAGUGGGGAAUAUUGCACAAUGGGCGAAAGCCUGAUGCAGCUAUGCCGCGUGUAUGAAGAAGGCCUUAGGGUUGUAAAGUACUUUCAUCGGGGAGGAAAAAACAAAACUAAUAAUUUUAUUUCUUGACGUUACCCGAAAAAGAAGCACCGGCUAACUCCGUGCCAGCAGCCGCGGUAAUACGGAGGGUGCUAGCGUUAAUCAGAAUUACUGGGCGUAAAGAGCACGUAGGUGGUUUUUUUAAGUCAGAUGUGAAAUCCCUGGGCUUAACCCUAGGAACUGCAUUUUGAAACUGAAAUACUAGAGUAUCGUAGAGGGAGGUAGAAUUCUAGGUGUAGCGGUGAAAUGCGUAGAUAUCUGGAGGAAUACCUGUGGCGAAAGCGGCCUCCUAAACGAAUACUGACACUGAGGUGCGAAAGCGUGGGGAGCAAACAGGGAUUAGAUACC